CCUGAUCGAUGAGGAAAGGGAAUCCCAAGUCCUCCAAUCAUCUUUUGCCCUUUCAAAACCCCUGGGCUAGGUCACUACUAGCUAGCCUGUCACACAAAUUCAGACCAUGCCCA